CGACCGCACCACGCCUAUGUAGAGGCGGC
rnacentral:sRNA from 1 species